AUCAGUCAGAAGGUGAAGAUAUUCAGCUUCAGUGGACACAGUUCCCAAAACAAUGAUGCUUUGCGUUCACUAUGCAUAAACUGCAAGAAAAAAACCAUGAAGAGCUGCUCCGGGUCAUUUUAUUUCUUUGUUCAGGUCUCUGUGUUUGUGUGUAUGAAUAUAUGGCAUGAGAAACAGCUGCAUGUCUUCUGCUGUGGCUCACGUGACUAAGAUGGAGGAGGCUUAGAAUGGAGCAGUGGCAACAUUCGGAACCAUUGCCUAGCGUCUUCAUGCUUGGGGCAUUUUUCCCACAAUGCUUUUCUUUGCAGCCCCCUUCCAGAUCCAGCCCAUUUUGAACUUGAUAUCUCCACUCCCAACUAUUCCCGCCAUGCUGGUUUGGUGUUGUUCUAUGUCCUAUGACCUAUGCCAAUUGACGGAAAGACAUAUACACGCACAAACUCAUACUAUCACUUGACAAAACUUCUGAUCAAGCCAAGGGCCUGGUCUGGCUUGCUUGACCCUGAGAAGGGUGAGGUCAGUGAUUAUAUUUCAGUGUUGCUGAGGCAUUGUGGGGAUGCUUUAACUCCCAUUCAUCAUCAUUCCUUCUUUGUAUGUUAUAUACCAUAUUCAUCUCCCGCUUCUCACAACAGCUACCGGUAGUAGCAGGACAAGUUUGGAAGGUAUUUUUAUUCAUUUAUAAAAUAACGGACAACAUUUCAAAAACAUUAAAAGAAACUGCGACUAAUAGCAUCUUUAUAGUUCCAGCUUAACUAAAGUGAAAAUGUGUAAGAUGAUCAUAUAGCUGGCAAAAAUGAACAAAGUGGUUUUUUUUUUGUUUGCCUGCCAAAUUGUUCCUUUAUUUAUGAUAUCUAGCUUUCUAAUCCAGAAGUCAAAAUUAGUGGGCCUCAGAUAGAUUUCUAAACUGUGGGAAGGCAUAGCUCAACAUGGGUACUAUUGUUUCCCAGUAACCUUAUACUUGGCACUUAAUAUCUUCAGAAAUUCACAAAAUGCUCAGGAUUGCAUUUUGGCAUUUAGACUUGGGAAAUCUUGGAGUCAGCCUAGUUACCUUUUUGCUGAAGUGUUACAAAAGAAUAAAUUAAUCAGUCAUUACACGGUUCAAUAUGCUUUCAGAAGGACGUUUUUCUUUUGUUCUUUAAAGACACAUUUUAAUUUGAAUACUAGAGUUUGAUUAGUUGAAUAUUAAAACUUGAUCAGAUUAGAACUGUUCCUAUCAUUUUAUGUAUACAUAAGAUAGUCAUAGUUUAAUUCUAAUCAUUUCACCAUGAUUUUAUUCUAUAGUUCAUUUUAUUCUAUUUUCAGUUUGUAAUUUUAGUCUUAAUGCAAAUAAAUCUUUUAUAAAAAUC